GACGAACGCUGGCGGCGUGCUUAACACAUGCAAGUCGAACGGAAAGGCCCUGCUUUUGUGGGGUGCUCGAGUGGCGAACGGGUGAGUAACACGUGAGUAACCUGCCCUUGACUUUGGGAUAACUUCAGGAAACUGGGGCUAAUACCGGAUAGGAGCUCCUGCUGCAUGGUGGGGGUUGGAAAGUUUCGGCGGUUGGGGAUGGACUCGCGGCUUAUCAGCUUGUUGGUGGGGUAGUGGCUUACCAAGGCUUUGACGGGUAGCGGGCCUGGAAGGGUGACCGGGCCCAUGGGACUAAGGGAGGGGCCAGGGGUCAAGCGGGGGGAAUGGGGGGGAAAUUGAUCCAAAGGGGCGGAGUCGGUGAAGAAGACCCCCGGGUUGGGAAGGCCGUCUUUGGGGUGAGAAACGCAUUAGGCUUGUACCGAGCGGUUGUGACGGUAAAUGGAGAAUAAGCACCGGCUAACUUCGUG
rnacentral:rRNA from 1 species